rnacentral:lncRNA from 1 species
UUCUAUAUCUUUUUCCUUUUCUUUUACAACCAUGUCCUUGGUACAUACCGUUUAUACUUCAUAUCUAAAAAUAGCUCGAUUUAGAAGGUAACGCUUGUAAAGUACAAUAUAAAUUGUUUAUACUACCUCCAUUCGUUUAUAUAUGACGCUGGCUUGCUCAAAAUUAAACUGAUCAACGUCAUAUAUAAAUGAAUUAAGGAAUAUAUAAGUAGCUAGGUUUAUUCAAGCCUUUGCAUGAGUUUUCCACCCAACCACCGCCAUAUAGUGCAAUAUCAUGAUAGCAAGGACCUCCUUCGCGCAAAGAUCAACC